AGCGAGGUAGAGCAGUUGGUAGCUCGUUGGGCUCAUAUCCCAAAGGUUGCAGGUUCGAGUCCUGUCCUCGCUUCA
rnacentral:tRNA from 1 species